GUCUACACCCAUGCUGCCCUGAAUGUGUACGAUCUCAUCUGAUCUCGGAAGCUCAGCAGGGUCAGGCCUGGUUAGUACAUGGAUGGGAGACCACCUGGGAAUACCAGGUGCUGUAGGCA
rnacentral:rRNA from 1 species